rnacentral:rRNA from 1 species
CACGUAGGGUGCGAGCGUUGUCCGGAAUUAUUGGGCGUAAAGAGCUCGUAGGCGGUUGUCGCGUCUGCUGUGAAAACUCGGGGCUUAACUCCGGCCUGCAGUGGGUACGGGCAGACUAGAGUGCGGUAGGGGAGACUGGAAUUCCUGGUGUAGCGGUGGAAUGCGCAGAUAUCAGGAGGAACACCGGUGGCGAAGGCGGGAUCCUGGGCCAGUACUGACGCUGAGGAGCGAAAGCGUGGGGAGCAAACAGG